GUCUGCCGGCAGUUCUAGGCGAUUUGGAGCUACCACCCCAGCGUUUGUUAAAUGAAGGAAGCUUUGCAUCCCGUAAAGCGCAGACAGCAGCAAGUGACUGCAGCCAGCCUGGGAGAAUUCGUGCGUCUCUGGUUGAACCCAGUCUUCGGAGCACCUUCCUGGCGCCAGACUCUGGGGUGUGACUUGCAUGUGUCUCAUGCAGCCCUCCUGGUACACCUCGCAGAAGAGGAGGUCAUGGAUUUGAAGCAUGAGGGGAAUUUGACACAUCAUUGCUGGUGUGAAAUGGAGAAGACUGCACGCCAAGGAAUAUGGACAGCUUUUGGGAGUAAUCCCAGCUGACAUCUAGCAAGGAAAUGGGGACUUCAGACCUACGACUGCAAGGAACAGCAUUUGACCAACAACUUGAAGGAGUAUGGAAGCAGAGUCUUCCCUAGAACUUCUGUAAUGGAUCCAUACGAGGCUCACCUUUUCGGGCUCCUGUAGCUCCUCACUUGGACUUCUGGCUGCACACUCCAGUAGUUGUGAUGUUUAGCUUGGCCAACUGUACCUUUCCCUCUCAUAUGAGAGCAGGGACCAUGGUUUAUGACUACCCAUGAUCCAUCAGGCCGAGCACCCUGCUGUCGUCAUAAAUAUGCCAGAAUGUUGAAAACGACCACCCAGGACUCUCUCAGCGUCUGCUGGUAAGUAGUUUUACCAUCGCGCUCUGGCCCCUGUGAUCCAGGUCGUGUGUUUUAGCAUCUUGUAUCAUUGGAAAGUGAAGGCGACACACCCGGGCCUUGAGCAGAGCCUUGCUGUACAAAAUGAGAACAGCUUCAUCACAAACAAAGGCACACUUGGCACUGGGUGCUCAGGCCCCAUGCCAGAUGUUUGCCAGGCUCUGGACGAAUCUACAGGUGGGAUGCUCUCUUGACAUUGCCCUCCUGUUCUUCGUCUAGACUGCCCGGUACACAAACCCCCUGGGCGUGUAGGAGAACAUUUGCGAAGCGUUUUCCAGUUUGCCUCUCCUGUGAGCAGACUGGGCUGUGUCCUCAUUGUGUUCAUCACGAUGGCUGAAAACGGAGGGGUCAAUUAACAGGCAGCGUCACUGCCUCCUGACGGAUCUGCUUCUCCCAACACGAGUGCCAUGGUGAUGGACUGGCAGAAUCUUGAACGUGCAAAGGUGUGUUUCCACAAAUAUUUUGCAUAAACAGGAAUUUGCUUGCAAAUGUGACUCAUUUUCCUUCGUGUUUUUUAUUUGUUAUCCUGUACUGUUUGCCAUGCAUCUUUCGGCACACGUGGGGCCCUCCCUGGAGGGCUCUGAUCAGUGAUUCCGUGGGGAAGCCAGAGGAAGCUUGGGGUUGUCUCUGUGCCCGCCCACCCGUGUUUCUAGAGUUAUCCCUCUGCUUCUAAGCUCCUGCAGAAGGGGAGGAGAAGGGGCAAAAUCCUCAACGGAGAACCAAACAUCCCACUGGGGCGAGGAAAGCUCUGGGCCUGGGGCGAGGGUAGUUCUUUUUUUACUAGAAAGACGUCUGUUUAGUGACUUUAAAACUCCCUGCCAUGGGGGGUUCAAGAGAGGGGAGAUGCUGGAGAUGAAUAGGCAGACCACAAAGAGUUUAGGGCAAUGCAAAUGCUGUCUGUGAUAUAAUAAUGGAUUUAUGUCACUACCCUCUUGUCCAAAUCCAUAGAAUGUAC